GCCGGCGUGGCCAAAUGGUUACGGCGUCCGCUUCCUAUGAUAAUCAGUUUAAACACCUGAUCCGAAAGCGGGAGAUUGUGGGUUCGAUCCCCACCGUUGGUU
rnacentral:tRNA from 8 species